GCUCCCAUGGCGUAGUGGUCACUGCGCUCGCCUUGCACGCGGGAGACCCGGGUUCGAUUUCCGGCGGGGUCA
rfam:Asian citrus Psyllid, Diaphorina citri - Florida Strain, whole genome shotgun sequence.